rnacentral:rRNA from 1 species
GGUAAUACGUAUGGGGCAAGCGUUGUCCGGAUUUACUGGGGCGUAAAGGGCGCCGUAGGCGGUUUGUUAAGUCGAAGGUGAAAUCCUCGGGCUCAACUCGAGAAUUUGCCUUCGAUACUUGGCAAACUAGAGUGGCGGAGAGGAAAGCGGAACUCUUGGUGUAACGGUGGAAUGUGUAGAUAUCAAGAGGAACACCGGUGGCGAAGGCGGCUUUCUGGACGCACACUUGACGCUCAGGCGCGGAAGCCUGGGUAGCAAACAGGAUUAGAUACCCUGGUAGUCCACGCCAUAGACGAUGGGUACUAGGUGUCGGGGGUAUCGACCCCUCCGGUGCCGCAGUUAACGCACUAAGUACCCCGCCUGGGGAUUAUGGUCGCAAGGCUGAAACUCAAAGGAAUUGACGGGGCCCCGCACAAGCGGUGGAGCAUGUGGUUUAAUUCGACGCAACGCGAAGAACCUUACCUGGGCUUGACAUGCUUGGGACAGCGCUGGAAACAGCGUCUCUCCUUCGGGAGCCCUUGCACAGGUGCUGCAUGGCUGUCGUCAGCUCGUGUCGUGAGAUGUUGGGUUAAGUCCCGCAACGAGCGCAACCCUCGUUACUAGUUGCCAUCAGUUCGGCUGGGCACUCUAGUGAGACUGCCGGUGAUAAACCGGAGGAAGGUGAGGAUGAUGUCAAGUCAUCAUGGCCCUUACGCCCAGGGCUACACACGUGCUACAAUGGUCGGGCACAAAGGGUCGCUAAGCCGCGAGGUGGAGCUAAUCCCAAAAAGCCGGCCUCAGUUCGGAUUGGAGUCUGCAACCCGACUCCAUGAAGGCGGAAUCGCUAGUAAUCGCGGAUCAGCAUGCCGCGGUGAAUAGUUCCCGGGGCUUGACACACCGCCCGUCAUAUCACCCGAGUCGGGGAUACCCGUAGUCCGUGACCCAACC